rnacentral:lncRNA from 1 species
GCCCGGCCUCGCCAUGGUCCUCUGGUAUUGCUCGCUCUAGUAGGAUAUGGCUUGUUGUUGGUCAGUAACAUAAGUAGGCUCUGUGCAAGAGCUGCGUCGUCGCCCAUUUGCGGUUUCCGAUCGAUUCAUCCGCAGUAUUAGUAUCAUAGUAUGGGAGUAACUACUAUUUUGCAAUGCCGCUGCAUUUUUCCCGUGUUUACGGGAUCUCAUUUCCAUUGCUCACUUUUGAGGUUGGAACAUGUUGUAUUGGGGAAUAAAGGUUGGUAGAUGGUCAGUUGUCUUUAUAUUACCUUAUUCUUAUGUACGGUUGAGAGUUUAUGUUACAUACACCCACUCAAGGUUUGGUUUGCUUUUGUGAUGUCUAAGCAAGCAAGUUUGGCGAUCACUCUGUCCUAGAGGCAGAAUUCUUGUUCUCGGCAUUUUCGUAGAUUUUUCCGGUGCAGGAUUCUGUUGUAUUAGUAUGGUAACCAUUUUGCAAUGCCACGGCAUUUUCCCGCGUUUAUGGGAUCUCUUUCCCAUUGCUCGCUUUUGAGAUUGGAACAUGUUGUAUUCGGAAAUAAAGGUUGAUUGAUGUCUUCAGAUUAUCUGAUUCUUAUGUAUGGUUGAGAGUUUAUGUUACAAAUAGACCCACUCAAGGUUUGGUUGCUUUUUUGAUCUCUAGACAAGCAAGUUUGGCGAUCAUUGUCCCUAGAGGCAGAUUUCUUGUUCUCGGGAUUUUCGUAGAUUUUUCCGGUGCAGGAUUCUGUAGUAUUAGUAUGGUAAGUAUUUUGCAAUGCCACCGCAUUUUCCCACGCUUACAGGAUCUCUUUUCCAUUGCUCGCUUUUGAGAUUGGAACAUGUUGUAUUGGGGAAUAAAGGUUGAUUGAUGUCUUCAGAUUACCUGAUUCUUAUGUAUGGUUGAGAGUUUAUGUUACAGAGACCAACUCAAGGCUUGGUUGCUUUUUUGAUCUCUAAACAAGCAAGUUUGGCGAUUAUUAUCUUCUAGAGGCUCUUGUUGUUCUUGGGAUCUUGGUAGAUUUUCCGUGGUGCAGAAUUCUGUGGAAGAUUUGGUGCACUCUUUAUGUAUCCAUUUAUGUGAUUUGUCUAUUAUGUCGAGGACCAAGCACAGACCACACUGCAUCAUUACAUAUUUUUGGAUUUGGAGGUUGGUGAGCAGCAAGCUCCCGAGAGUUUGGUGGUGUACUAAGUACUUAUAUUUGCUGGUUCCAGUGUCCCUGUCUGUCUUGGCUCAGUCGCCGAGCCGAUACGACGAGGCACCAAAAUACAGAUGCGGGGAUGUGACGGCGGUUUGGUGCCGGCCAAGGACCGAAAUCACCAGCAGCUCUGAAGCUUCCAAACCGCACGUUGGUAAACAUGCCAUAUAUAGGCUGACGCCGUGUGUUCGUAACAGCAAGCUGCCUUGUGAAGCUGUGGGUUUCAUUUCAUACUUUUGAUAUACAUAUGGCCUGUUUGUUCUGACUUUUUUUUUUUUUGCAGUUUCUAUGUAGGCAAAAAUUCUUGCGUUAGUUCUUUGUUUAAUGGUGUUGGCUUAUGGUUUGAGUUCCUGCUGUGGGUCGUUUGAUCACUCCAUGUGGGUUUGCUUUUCACUCGAGACUAGGGAAAUAUAAGUCAUUCUUUUUACUAAUUCGGAAAGAAGAGAUUCAUCACGGUAACUAUCACUGGAAAACCAUGGAAUGCAAAGAAAAUCUCUGCAUAAUAAUAAUAUAUGAACCACUAUAUUUGCUCCCCAAGCUGCAUAAAUGAUCUACUCUAUCCGUCCCAAAAUAAGUGACUCAACUUUGUACUAGCUUUAUACUAAAGCUAGUACAAAGUUGAGUCACUUAGUUUGGGACAGAGGGAGUAUUACAUUAUCUUAUAAGUCACUAGCAUUUUUGCGCACACAGCCACUGGGCAGCACAUCACAGUGCAAAAGGACGAGGGAUGGUUCAAUUUCAUAGUCUCAUAAACAACGCUUGUUUGACGAUCAUCUCAUUCUUCGGAAUCUUGAUUACACUGUUGCUUCAAUCCUUCCUGCGGAGGAAGGAUUCCAAUGACGCGGGCGAUGUGAAUCUUCUUUCUGAUAUACUCCUCAUAGUACUUCGGCUUGUUAAUCUGAAAAGAGAAGAAAAAUAAAAUUUCACAGGCUAAAUCAUCAUCUUUCUAAAACAUGCAUAAUUAAGGCAGAUGUGUUUUCUUUCAUACUAUAUCACAGUACCCGCUUUCUAAUUCCCUCUGCAAUCAACGCCUUAGCUCCAUCCUCUUUAACCUGAAGGCAAGCAGACUACGUCACACAUACAAGAACAUAUUCCACUUGCAUGCCACAUACAAAAGACACUAUUGUACUUACUUCCGGGGUAAUGGCUGCCGUGCAGGCACGGUACUGAAGGAAGGAAGAUGAUAAGAAAUUAGCAUACAUGCAUACACAAAGGGAAUAAUAUUAAGUCAACAAAGUGCAGAUUAUCCAUAAACCUAAAGAGCCUACCUCCGAUUUCAUUCUCCCCAUGAUGUAGUCAUCCUCCAGUGCAACUUUCAUCCUAUGUUGGCGUAACGGAAACCUGCCCAAAUUAUAAACGUCCCCUAGAGCUUCUCUGAAGCUCAUCUGAACAAUUAUUCAAGGCAAAAGUCAUGCACUGCUAAGGAUAUACACAGUACUUGUAAAAACGAGAGAAAACUGGUGCGCAUUGCUGAUCAGUACUAACCAUUCGUUGCGUGACCCGCCCCCAAAUCUCAAAAUAGACACCAUCCAACUCCUUAAACCAAAAACUGUCAUAGCCCAUGCUCGCUAUACACUCCUGAACCGAAAGAUAGCAACUGUGCUGUGAGAUAUACUACAUUGUAAGCUACAUAGAAAUAAUUCAUGCGAGGGAACCUACAUGGUAGCCAUAGUAAGCUAAAGACGCGCUGAUCUUCGGGAAGGUAGUAGCAGCGAUCUUCAUUGCUUGGAAAGCUCCCCGGGAGGAUAUGCAGUCCCACUAGGCAACAAAAAUGUUGUGAGGGCGAUAAAAGACAUAUAUAGGCAACAGUGACAUUCCAAGAUUUUCGCAUAGCCAUACUUACCAUAUAAGAUGGCCGGCGAGCAUCUAGAUAACCUUCCAUCCACUGUUGGCAGCGUAAAAAAGGUCCUUAGUCCAAAAAGAAUAUCAAAGAAAUGAACAAAGGAAAUGACAUCUCCUUAACAUGAUCUGUGAUACAUACCUGUAGUUGCUUGAAUAGUUCCUCGCAGUAAUUGGCAUACUCUUCUUCAAUGACAUGGCUACAAAGGAAUUCGUGGUAGUCACUCCACCUGCCGUACUCAGUACCACCCUACAUUGAAAAGGAUAGAGAGAGAACACAUUGCUUAGAAAUUUUUAGAACGAUACACAACCUAAAUAUAGCUACUACUCCCUCCGUUCCUAAAUAUUUGUCUUUCUAGAGAUUUCAACAAGUGACUACAUACGGAGUAAAAUGAGUGAAUCUACACUCUAAAAUAUGUCUAUAUACAUCCGUAUGUGAUAGUCCAUUUGAAAUCUCUAAAAAGAUAAAUAUUUAGGAACGGAGGGAGUAGUAUAUUUGAGUUAGUCAGUCUGACCAGUUUAUAAGUUGAUAAAUUGACAAGUUAAACAUUUCAGAAUAUAAUAUUGCUCGUCUCAGGCAAAUAUUACUAAAGCUCACUAGAUGUAGCAUGAACUUGCACCUACAUUACAUGUAAUUGGCCUAUAAUCUGAACCCUGAUAUACUUUUUCCAUUAUUGUAAGCAAGAUCGCCUAGAGAUUGCACCUCUCACAGUGGGUAGUAUCAAACAUGAUACCAAUCUACUCCCUCCGUCCGUGAAUAAGUGUACAUCUAUCUUUUGUUCUAAGUCAAAGAUUUAGAAUUUUGACCAACUUUAUAGAAAAGAGUAGUAGCAUAUAUGAUAUCAAAUUGAUAUAUUAUGAAAGUACAUUUCAAAACGAAUCCAACGGUACUAAUUUAGUGCCAUAAAUGCUGCUACGUUUUCCUAUAAAAUUGGUCAAAGUUUUAAAACUUUGACUUAAGACAAAAGCUAGAUGUACACUUAUUCACGGACGGAGGGAGUACAAUACUACCUCCCCAAUGCAUAGUAUCAUAGGCGUCAUAUUUUAUACGACAUCUUUUGUUAUUUAUUAGGAUCCAUGGGAGAUGAACGCAUGGGAUCAAUCUAACUCUUUCUCCAUUCAAUGAUGUGUCACAUCAGCUAAAUGCCUACUUGGCACUGCUGCAUGAUACUCUCCUAUGAUAAUUUUGGAGAAUUUAGUGUGAUUAUAACAGCCAGACAGCUGUUCUAAUACAAUCAGCCACAAAUACAAAUAGAAGGACUAGUCAUGCAUAAGAAGAUAACUCAAUAAUUUCGGAGGACUAGGCGUUGGUAGUCACUAAGAGAAGGAUCUUUGCAGUAAUCAGGGUGGAAAUACCAAUCAAGUGUCCAAUUUUCCUCGAUUCUCUUGAAGUAUCCCCACUUCUUAAGAAACUGUCGAUCACACUCGUCCUCAGAAACGUCCUUAAGGCCCAACGUAUCGUCCUUCCCCUCCUCUUUCACCUGCAGACGAUGAGACGGCACGGCACGGCACAUAAUUAAGAUCAAACUAAAUGAAUACAGGAGGUUAAAUAACCCAGCACGUGUAGCAUAGAACAAGUAAAUGCAUGAUGUGUGAUGAUAGAUGGUUCUAUAUAUAGAUGGAACUGUGGACUGAACCUUGUGUUUGUAAGAUCUGAAGCGGUACAGCGCAAGGCGAACGGCUUGCUUGUCGAGCUCCUCGCCGGUCAGUUUGACAGCAUCGGGAUAGAUCCGAGGCAUGGAAGGUAGCUGAUCAAAGUAAGCGUUGAACUCGUCGUCGCUGACAUGCUCUCCUAUGCCCAGAUCAUUCAGCCUUUGGAUCAGAAGCUCCGCCUCUUUCACCUCUUCGUUUUCUUCCUCGGCAUGUAGUACAGUCUCGUCUGAAUCGGAUCUCUGAAGGUCCUUGGCAGUAUCAGGCUCCUUUGCAGGGUGGCCGUGCGCCGUGUGUCCACUCGAGAUGGCAUCGGCAUCCACCAUUGGGGUCUCCCCGCUCGAGACCGUGCGUGCCUUCUUUGUACGGCGCUUGGCGGCGGAUUCUUCGGAAUCCUGGGCGGUUGUGUUCCCGUGAAGGGCAGCCAGGGCGGCAGAUCCUCCCGUCGAGACCGUAGCCUUCGUCUGCGGCAUCUCUCCACUCGAGGCCACAGCAACUUCUCCUCGCUCGAGGCCGCCGCCCCCUCUCCGGGAUGCACCGUCGGCCGGCACCCCUCCGCCCGAGGCCGCGACAACCUUCUUCUGCAGGACCCCGCAGCCCGAGCCGGUACCCACCGGUCACCCCUUUACCGGAGGACUCUCGCAGUCUCGCUGCGUCGGGCAAACGCACACAGCAUGGCCCGGCCCAAGCGGCCCACUCACGUCCCCGUUUUUUCCGUUUCGAUUUUUUUUGUCAUGUUAAAAAGUGUGUGUUCGCUGAAAAACAUACUCCCUUGUACAGAAAAUAUAAACUCAAUUUGAAAGGAUAUGUGGAAGCUGAAAAUACCAGGGAAGAUAAAACAUUUUGCAUGAAAGUUUUGCAUGGCGCCCUCCCAUGCUUUGGUGUAUUAGCAAACCGACACAUCCCAUGCUCAGCUCAAUGUCCAGUUUGUUUAGUCGGAGCAGAAGACAUUCAACACUGCUUAUUUAAGUGUCGACGAGCGACAGAUAUUUGGGAGCGGCUGGGCUUGCUACAAGUCGAGCUGUCACCGAGGAUAGAUCAGGAUCUAUUACGAUGGAAAUUUUAUCAAAGCUUCAGAGCAAUGAUGUGGAGGUACCAACGGCAGAGCUUGCAGUUGUAGCAGCAUGGUAUAUAUGGUGGCAGCGCCGGCAUAUAGUGAAGGGAGUCAAAGUCCAAACGCCAGAAAAAACUGCAGUAGCCAUCAAGGUUUUGGCGACAAAUUACCUCAGGUCAACUAUACCCAAAGGAUCAAUAAGGAAGAAUGACCACAUGUGAAGGAAACCAGGACAUGGGAUCGUGAAGAUAAAUGCUGAUGCUUCCUUUCAGUAUGAAACACUUUCAUGUGCUUGUGGUGUUGUGGCUCGGGACGACCGGGGUGAUUUUAUUGCCGCAGCAAGUUGGUUUGUUCCAAACAUCAGUGGAGUUGACUCAGCUGAGCUAACUGCCAUCAGAAACGGAAUGUACUUGGCAACUCACAUUGGAUGCAACAACAUAUAAAUUGAAUCAGAUUGUUCUUUCGCGGUGGACUCGGUGAACCAAGUUGAUGAUUAUUUAGGCCCAGAGAUAGCUAUCAUCACAGAGUGUAAAGAGCUUAUGAUGGAUUUUGCGUCCAUAUCCUUCAAACAUUGCUAUAGAGGGUCCAAUCAAGUGACAGAUGAAUUAGCAAAGAACUCUUUUACUACUAGAUUCUCUAGUUCUUGGGAUGAUGAGAUCCCAGAUUUUAUUUCUCAUCUGCUUGUAAAUGACAUGUCUAUUAUUUAAGAAAUAAAGUCUAUUUGAGGUAAAAAAAACUUGAGUCAUUUAUUUUGGGACGGAGAAAAUAUAUAAAAAAUGUGUUGUAAAAAGAACGAAAAUAAAACUACAGAAAAUAAAAAAAAUGCUCACGUAGACACAUGUGAAUGUUCCAGAAAAAUUCAAAUGUUUGAGUAUAUAUUUUUUCUAAACCAAUAAAUAAAAAGAAGUUUAUGCUCUAUUCUUAGCUCAACAGAUGUUCCAUCAUAUUACAAUCUGACUACACAGGUAAUUGCAACAUCGUGCGAUGGGGGGUUGCCCCUGUAUGGCUCUGCUAUUUUCCAUGGUUGUGCUAUGAGAACUAGUGAGUUUUUGAUGAAGUUAGAUUCCGAUUUUAUUGGAGUCAAAUUUGUGACUGUUUUAUAUACUAGCCGCACAAACACAAUCUCCAUACAAUACAUAUCUUAAAAUCAUUCAAAUUAAAGCACGGAUAGCAAUAAUCGUCAUAACAUAAACUUCGCAUUUUUCAAAUUUAAACAUGCAAAGUUCAUCCAAAAGACAUCACUUUAAACAAAAUAUUUUAUUCAAUGAAAUAUGUAUUUGGCAACCGUGUGGCAGAUUGCAAAACUGCCACACGCAUCAACCGCCGUCAGAUCCGACCGCCGUCCUGAUUUCCUUCCUGAUUUUCAGGCAAAAAUAAUGCUUGGAUUGGGAUUUGGUCUCUGGUCUGCAGGUAAUCAACGAAGGGAGCUAACCACCUCACCUAUGAUACUCAUUGUUGAACAAGAUAAGGAAAAUACUGUUUUUGACAUGCUUUGCCUUUAAUAUGUUAGCACUGAAAAACUUUUUGUUUCACCUAUCAAACCUGGCACAUAAACUUUUCCCGUGGUAAAUUCUCCAUCACCACCAGGACAAAUGACACAGCACCAACAUGAUAACUUUUGUAUAUCACGCGGUACAUUAUGUGUAAGUAGCAUGGUCAUAAGCACUGAAGGCGUGAUAACUUUGGUGAAAGCAUUAUGGUAACUUUGAUCAUUGGGAAGAAAUUUGUNNNNNNNNNNNNNNNNNNNNNNNNNNNNNNNNNNNNNNNNNNNNNNNNNNNNNNNNNNNNNNNNNNNNNNNNNNNNNNNNNNNNNNNNNNNNNNNNNNNNNNNNNNNNNNNNNNNNNNNNNNNNNNNNNNNNNNNNNNNNNNNNNNNNNNNNNNNNNNNNNNNNNNNNNNNNNNNNNNNNNNNNNNNNNNNNNNNNNNNNNNNNNNNNNNNNNNNNNNNNNNNNNNNNNNNNNNNNNNNNNNNNNNNNNNNNNNNNNNNNNNNNNNNNNNNNNNNNNNNNNNNNNNNNNNNNNNNNNNNNNNNNNNNNNNNNNNNNNNNNNNNNNNNNNNNNNNNNNNNNNNNNNNNNNNNNNCAUUCACGCCAUAGACCUGAUAAUUUAGAUAUAAAUAUCAUGGUAACUUUAAUCAUCGGGGAAGUAAAAUGUGAAAAUAUACCCGAUAAUUUAUGUGUAAAUAGAUGGCAAUAUACGCAGCACACAUCUGAUAACUGAGGUAGACACACCAUGGUAACUUUGACCAUAGGGAAGAUUUUUUUGAAAAGAUACCCCGGUAUUGUAAGGGCAUAUUUCACCCUAUGUGGUUUUGGUGAUUGAUGACAAUGCAUUUGCAGACUAAUCGUGUGCAUUGAGCAUUUCAGAUAUCUCAUGUCUAGGCACAAGACGAUUCGGUGCCGCUCGGAGCCUAGUGAAGACGGUGUUUCUCUACGUUUCUUUUCGAUGGAUUUGAGUCAUAGGAAAGCCAUACUAUUAAGAGGGGAUCCGCUUCGGAAAGGUUAGGGCGGAAUCAACACAUACACGUAUGGUCCUUUGCACGAUCUUUCCUCUACUUCUUUGGAGUACCGACCGCUUACCCGUGUCUCUACAAAAUGAAGGCCUCCAAGCGCUAAGUGUUCUGUGGCAUGCGAUAGUACUGCUUAAGGGAGCAGUAGUACCGCAGAGGCCCACGGUAGUACCGGCCAGGGAAGCGGUAGUACCGCGCCACGCGGUAGUACCGCUCCUCAGGCGCGGUAGUACCGUGGCCUCUAGCCCAGCACAAGGACAUGCGCGGAAGUAGGCACGGAAGUAAUUUUUUACAUCCGCGCCCUACGUGGUAGUACCGCUCCCUACAUGCGGUAUUACCGUGUGGGAUUUUUCCACAGAUCGAAACUUAGCGGAAGUAGCCACGGAUGUAAUUUUAUUAGUCUGUGCCUUCCCAGCCUAGACAAACCCUGCCUUGCUGUAGUACCGCAAGGACGCGCGGUAGUACCGCUCGUUGCUUUAACGCAAUAGGGGCUCGUCUGGAUCCUUCCGCGCAAGCGGUAGUACCAUAGUGCCUUGCGGUAGUACCGCAGGCUUGUGCGGUAGUACCGUAUGUUUGUGCGGUAGUACCACAUGUCGCGGGCUGAGUAAGUGGGUAACGGUUGACCACCUCUUCCUUCCCUAAGCUCCAUUGUUGCUCCAAGAUCCAUUUUCGCCUGAUCUCUCUCCCUAACCAAUCAAACCUGUUGAUUCUCUAUGGAUUGGUUGAGAAGGCCCCGAUCUACACUUCCACCAAGAUAAAUUUGAUUCCUCCCACUAAUCCCUAGCGGAUCUUGUUACUCUUGGAUGUUUGAGCACCCUAGACGGUUGAGGUCACCGCGGAGCCACUUUCCAUUAUGGUGAAGCUUCAUGGUGUCAUUGGGAGCCUCCAAUUAAGUUGUGGAGAUUGCCCCAACCUUGUUUGUAAAGGUUCGGUCGCCAUCUCCAAAGGCACCAAUAGUGGAAUCACGACAUCUCGCAUUGUGUGAGGGCGUGAGGAGAAUACGGUGGCCCUAGCAUCUUCUUGGGAAGCACUGUGCCUCCACACCGCUUCAAUGGAGACGUACUUCCUCUCAAAGGGAAGGAACUUCGGUAACACAUCCUCGUCUCCACCGACUCCACUCUUGGUUAUCUCUCACCUUUACUUGUGAAGCUUAUUUUGUGUUGUAUCUCUUGCUUGCUUGCGUGCUUGUUAUUGUUGCAUCAUAUAGGUUGCUCAUCUAGUUGCAUAUCUAGAAAACCUAUUUUGAUGCAACGUUUAAUUUGGUAAAGAAAAGCUAAAAAUUAUUAGUUGCCUAUUCACCCCCCUCUAGUCAACCAUAUCGAUCCUUUCAAUUGGUAUCAGAGCCUCGUCUCUUUAUUAAGGACUCUACCAUCUGAAUAGUAUGGUUAACACCGUAGAUGGUGAGGAGGAGUACCCCAGUGUGAAUCCAUCCUCGUCUACGACCGAUGGGGGAUCCUCGGUCUCUCAUGAGGAAUUCAACGCGGCUUUGGACACAUUGAAAACCUCCAUGACGACCGAGGUCAAAGGCAUGUUCAAGGAGUUUCUUGAUGGUCUUAAAUUAUCCACCGCAUCGUUGGAAGUGGGCGAUCCCACUAACAAGGUGACGGAUGCUAACUCCGAUAAGGGGGAAGCUUCUAGUGAUAAAGUUCCUUUGCCUAGUGGUAGAAGUGGAAAGGACAUCUUUGCCAAUGUUGAACCACCUCUUACUUAUGGAGGACUGGUUCCCUCCACUCAUUUGAAUCAUGUUGGUCCUCCUCCUAAGUUUGUGAAAAAUGAGGAUUUUGCUUCUUGGGUCUACUGUUUUAAACGCCAUUUAAAUCAUAGUUCUACUAAUCUUUGGAGAAUUAUUGAGCAAGGUUUCUACCCGCAUGACCCAAGCAACCUCACUACUAGAGAAGCCGCGGAUCAUCAUUCAACGAGUCUGCUCUCUUCAUUAUUCAAGAUGCAAUUCCACCCGAAGAUAUUGCGCAUCUCCGACCUUUCACGGUGGCCAAGGAAGCAUGGCAACAUGUUGUUUCCGUUAUAAGGGAAGCGCAAGCAUUCAAAGCUCCAACUAUGAAGUGGUGCAAGAUGAAUUCGAUGAGUUUGCGAUGAAUGAAGAUGAAGAACCUCGUGAGCUCUACCGGAAUUAACCACUCUCGCGUCUCACUCUGAGAUCAUGGGAGCUAGGAUGUAGAUGACAAUUGGAUCAAGCGCAAAUUUCUCAAGGCCAUGAUGCCCUACCAUAAGGCCAUGUCAUUCGUCAUCUUUCAAAGGCCGGACUUCCAUACCUUGUCCUCAAAUGAAGUGUUGGAUGAGUUUGUUGCCAUGAGAAUCUUGGACAAGACCGCCGACAAUGCGGUGAUGCGCUCUCAAUGAGUGAAGAAACCCGACCUUGCUUUGAAGGCCAAGGCUUGUGUGGAAGAAGAGGAAGAAGAGGAAGAAGAGGAGAGUAACCCCGAAGAUACAAAAUAUGAUUAUCAUGAGCACAUGGCUCUCACUUCAAGGCAAUUUUGGAGCAAGAAGAACUCAAGGCCCAACUUCAACAAGAACAACUCAAGUGGCACCAAGGGCAAGCAACGUGUGAGAACAUGCUAUAGUUGUGGCAAUGUGAGCCACUUUGUUGCGGAGUGCCCAUACAAGAAGCGAGAAUACAAUGGUCACAAGCUUAUCCGAAAAGACAAAGCCGAGUUCUUCCCCAACAAGAACAACUUCACCAAGAAGACUCCUCCCAAGGGGUUGGUGGCACAAGAAGAGUACAAUGAGGAUGAUGAUGAUGAAGACGGUGAGAUGAUGGCCAUGGCCUCUGUUGCCAUUGCCACAACUCCACGGGUGUCCCUCUUUGACUCACCCAAUGAGAACAUCACCGCCAAGUGCCUCAUGGCCAAAGCCACCAACAAGGUAACCCCCAACAUCAAAACUACCAUCACUACUAAUCCUUCCUUGACGGAUUGCAUUGAUGAAAGUGAGGGGUCUAAUGAGGAAGUAAAUGAAUUUGAGUCUUUUAUGAGUAAGCUCAAGGGUAAAUCCAAGAAGCACUUUGUUGCUCUCUUGGAACAACUUGGUGAAGCCAAUGACAUGAUCGAGGCUCACGAAGAAACCAUCUCUAAGAUGGAAGGACAUAGUCGUGACAUGCCGAUGAGAUAUCGGAUCUCUCUAAUGCGCUUGAGGAAGAGCGUGGUCAUCGUUUGGCUCUUGAGGAGUCACACAACAAUGAUCAUGCUUAACUAAAGAAAGAUCUUGAUCAUGCUCUUGUUGUAUCUUGUGUGCUCAAUACCGAGAAGGCUAAACUUGGGGUUGACCAUGCUAGACUCAAGGAGGAGUUUGAGAUACUUGACAAGGCUCACAAGGCCUUGAAGGGUGCUCAUGCUAGUCUCAAGGAGUCUCAUGAUCAACUCCAAGUGAAGCUAACCAAGGACAAAGCCACAUUUCCUCAUAUGGUCUUAAUUGAUAAUGCAAAUGCUACUAACCCGUGUUGUGAGCAUGUGCAUCUUGUGGAGGAGAAUGCCAAGUUGAAGGAGAAACUUGAGAAAGGCCUUGUGUCUUGCAUACAAGGUGAGAAGAACCUCAACGAUCUUUUGAGCAAUCAAAAGGAAGUUGUGGGCAAGGAGGGAAUUGGGUUUGCACCCAAGUCCAAGAACAAGAAGAAGAAUGACAAGGCCAAACAACCUCUUUCUCCCAAGCAAACUUUUGUGAAGGAGGGAGAGGGUGAUCCUAAGGAUAAGAAGAGGAACAAUGUGAAGGGUCGUGGUGCCAAGAAGGGCAUUGCCACCCUUUCCAAUAAAGCCAGCGACUUUAACCCUUCUUAUGU